GAUGAACGCUGGCGGCGUGCCUAACACAUGCAAGUCGAGCGAUCUCUUCGGAGAGAGCGGCGGACGGGUGAGUAACGCGUGGGUGACCUGCCCUGUACACACGGAUAACAUACCGAAAGGUAUACUAAUAUGGGAUAACAUACGAAAGUCGCAUGGCUUUUGUAUCAAAGCUCCGGCGGUACAGGAUGGACCCGCGUCUGAUUAGCUAGUUGGUAAGGUAAUGGCUUACCAAGGCAACGAUCAGUAGCCGACCUGAGAGGGUGAUCGGCCACACUGGAACUGAGACACGGUCCAGACUCCUACGGGAGGCAGCAGUGGGGAAUAUUGCACAAUGGGCGAAAGCCUGAUGCAGCAACGCCGCGUGAGCGAUGAAGGCCUUCGGGUCGUAAAGCUCUGUCCUCAAGGAAGAUAAUGACGGUAGUCGGAGAAGAAGCCCCGGCUAACUUCGUGCCAGCAGCCGCCGUAAUAC
rnacentral:rRNA from 1 species